ACAGCGCAGCUGCACGUUCGGGGCGACACGGGGAGGGCAAGGACAAAAUCAGUCUAAUUCAGCUAAAAAUCUCCAACAGGGCCCUGGCCAGUGGCUCAGUUUUCUACAGUGUCGUCCCCACAGGCCACGGUUGCGGGUUCCGUCCCCAGUCCGGGCUCAGGGCGCAUACAAGAAUCCACCAUGAAAGCAUGAAUAAGUGGAACAAACAAUUCUCUCUCUUCCUCUAUAAGACCAAUAAAUAAAAAUUUAAAUCUCAAAGUAGGACCCGACAUCGAAUGGUUCCAAACUGCCCGUGUGGAGAUUUUCUUAGCUGUCCACGGCACUUCCCCGCACCUUCCUCACAGGAGUGCCCAUCAGCAACCUCCCCUCCACCUGGGACCCUCCCGCUCGCCGUAUGGAGUGGAACAGGCUGCUUCUUCCUGGGGAUGAAAAGUCACAGCUGCUGACUAUGGAGGGGUGACGACCACAAGGGGCAAAUCUGUGAGUCCAUCUGCACAAGGUCAGUGGGUGAAAGGAAGAGGGUUUGAAGCGCUGCAGGCCCGGGAGGAGCUGUGAACAAGACGCUAGAGAAACAGCCCUGCAGGGGAAUCUCUUUUUGCAAAGAUCAAGACUCCAGAGCAAGGAGGAGGGCCGAGUGGCAAGAGCAGCCGCGAUGCACGGGACUGAGGUGUGAGCAGGAGAUGAGGGAGGGGCGGGUGGAGGUCAGACCUUCCCGCAGGAAGUCUGACUGUGCAGGGAAAGAGGGCCCCAGCUAGGCAGGCAGAGGGAGCAGAAGAUGCAGUGUUGUUAUUAUUACGAAGGCAGGAAAGUCAGAGCAGGGAACAAAGGCCUCGAGCUCUGCCCUCCCCUCUCCUUCUCGGCUGGAACAUCACAGACACGACCUCCGCUGCCCCCGGCCCACCGCUCCCCCUCCUCGAUUUCCUGUGACUGAGGGCACACACACAACAAGGAAAGGAACCGAUGUCUGCAGAGAGGGACCAGGACCAGGGCACAGGCAGUGGCCCUACACACGUCAGAGGCAGAGGACCGCCCCAGGCGCCCCCUUGCCCACAUUUAAUAGAGACCUCCCACCCAGACCCGAGGCCGCCUGCUCACUGCUCGCGGGCACUGGCGUUACUGAGCCCCCUGAGCUUUGCUAGAUCUGUCUGCCCCUGAAUUCCUUCUCGGGCCGUGACAGGGACUGGGAUGGGGCUGAGGCCGCCCUCGGCCGCCCGGCACCACUGCCAAUUACCAUCAUUACUUUAACGUGGAAGAGGCUCCGGUGCUUUAAAUGCCGCGAGGGAAGAACCUGUGGGGACAGGUGAAGGGUCCGGCUGCGAGAGCAGCGUCCCUGCGGAGGGCAGGCCAGGGGACCUUCCGGCCAGCCUGGGGGAAGGCGCUGCACGGCUGUGGAUGCCUGUGAUUUUAGGAGGACGGACGGCUGCUGUGGCCCAGUUUCUCCGGGGAUGUAAGAGGUGAGGGGGUUUGCCGAAAGGGGCAGGGAGGGGAUGAAGUGGGUGUCUUGGUAACUGCCCGCCUGAAACAGCCCUGAGGGCUGUGGGACAGGGAUUGAUCGGGACGUGGGAGGGUCUAGGCAGCGUGGAGGAGCCCAGUGAGCUGAGGGACCUUGAAACCUUUGUGCUAGGAAUCCCGGGCUGUGUGAACUUCCCACCCACAGUGGGUGGGACCGAGAGGGUGGAGGCCCGGGUUUAAUCAGGCAGGAGAGAAGGCGAGGGCUGACGGUCUGCCAGGAAUGGAGUUGAAAUGAUAGUGGGUCUGGCGUUAGCGGAGGAAAGGGAACAGGAGAGAGAAGAUGGGAGGAAAGGGAGGAGUCCAAAGUCCCCGGGGCUGACGGAGGGCAGAGAGAUACGGAGGGUGGACGAGUGGUUUCAGGUGGCAGAGGUGGCGACAUGCUGGGAGGAGCUGGGGGUGCAGGCAGACAGGUCACAGGGUGGCAGAACUGGUACCCGGGGAGCCGGCAGGGUGCGGCCCGCCCCUGCAGUGUGGGGUGGAGACGCUGACCAGGCCUCCCUGUGGGGGGAGGGGGAGGAACUGCGGCCCUGGGAACAAGCCAGGUAUCAGGCGGGUCCCCGCGAAGGCGAGAGCAGGGAAAGGAGGCUGGAAGGUGGAAGAGCAAAGGUCCCGGAGGCCCGGACGGGAGGACCCGUGGAGGAGGACACGGCGUCAGCUGGAAUGAACCGGAAGGGCGGCAUUUACGGGGGUUUAUGGAGAGAUCUAAGGCAGCCCGUGCUGUAGGCAAGCGGCCUCCAGCCUGGCAAUUCUAUUAGGGACCCUGGAGCUGAGCGGGGAGAGGCUGCGCCCCAGUCCCUUAGCGCCUGAACAGGACAGGAAGCCCCCGAGGGCCUCUGGACGGCGCCCAAAGAGGGUGACACAGCCAGCGAGUUUCGAAACGGCGCUGGCAUUUCUUCACCUUUUCUAUGGCCUCUGCGAGCUCCUUGUGUAAACAUGUCAGACAGGUGACUUUAGGCAGCCUCUUGUCCGUCCUCAGCACCACCCACCCGGUCACGGGGCACGACUGGUGCCUGGUGACCUUUGUGUCCCACAGGACUUGGGACCUGACCGGGGUCAGCCGCGCCGAGCCCUCUGCCCCGGCUGGGGGUGGGGUGGCCGCUUCCAUGCUCAGACCAUGUCCUGCCCACACUCUGCCUCCACCUCCUCCUCGGCAAGUUUCUUUCCUUGUUUCAGUUGCAAAUGAUGAGUGUGCAUGACUUAGAAACUUGGGGAAAUUGUUUUUAAGAAAGAAAGAAAAAGGCCCUGGCUGGGUAGCUCAGUUGGUUAGAGCAUCAUCCAGAUGCACCAAGGUUGUGGGUUCCAUCCCUGGUCAGGGCACAUACAAGAAUCAACCAAUGAAUGCAUAAAUAAGAGGAACAACCCCAUGUUUUUUUCUCUCUCCCCCCCCCCUCUAUAUAUAUACAUACACAUAUAUAUGUUUUAAAUUAUUUAAAAACAAGGGAAGAAAAAUUCAGGUUGUAACGUACUCAGUAAGCUAGCGACAGGCCAGGAGACUGCUGCCUGCCCCGAGGGCUGAUGCUCAGGCUCAGCUUCUCCCUUUCUGGCGCCCUUCAGAGCGGCGCUGUGUGCCUCUGGGUGCGUCACAGCGGAGCGAUCAAUCGAUUGCUCGCUCUGCCUCAUUAACGGCCGGCUGGCCGGCUGGCCUGGUCCCUGCGCUACCACAUUCCCCACGCGCUUUCGCCUAACGAGCCCAGCAGCUGGUGAUCAGGCUCCUGGCCUGGAUUUAUUAUUUCACCAGGGCUUCCGAAGAGGCGACUUUCAAAUGCAAUGACUUCUCCUGCAUUUAGUCACCGUGUUCUCCUCUGACGAGCUUUCCCCCAUCAAUCAUGUGGUUUCCCUGAAGCACAAUCCAAACAGAAAAAGGCCGGAUAAAUGCAAGGGAAGGAGGCCGCAAGUGUGAGCAAGGCAACCAGGAGGGAACAACUAGUCAGGUCCAGACUCCACUGAAUUCUACACGACAGAUGACUGAUUCUCCAAUAAGUGGCAUUUUUUUUUAUAAAAAGAAAGAAAACCGGAAGACAGACUGUUAGAGGUGAACAGAGACUUGGGAUGUGUGAUCCGGGUGCAAUGUGUGAACUUCGGGGGCCUGACUUGAGCUGCCAGUUGUGAACACGCGGCUUGUUUAUUUGUUUCUGAGGCAACUGGGGGCGUGAACAUGGACAAGUGAUUGCCAAGACUUCUGGUGUCGGGCUGAAGGUCAGAGAAGGAAUGCCGGUAACCAAGUCAUCAGAGCUUUGAUCGGCUUUGGGUUUGUUUCUUGAAGACAAGAACCUUGACGGUGUAUGCUUGCCGCUCCACACCUAGGUUAGAUUACCAGUUUAUAACGAAAGGAGAUAACUCAGGAACAGGCCCAUGGAAGAGUGCACAGGGCAAGGUGUGUGGGAAGGGGCGGGGGGCGUCCAUGCCCUCUGAGGGCACCGUCUCCCCCCCACACACCACCACGUCUGCCAACCCAGAAGCAACUCAUUAACGUUCUAGAAGUUACGAUUCUUUGUUAGCGGAUAUUGCACCAUGAAUCUUCAAUCUGAAAACUCCAGUUACACAUGAUUUGAACUAUGGCCUCAAAAGGUUCUAGCAUGUGGGGAUGACAAAUGUUACACUAAUCUCAGCGAAAUGGAUUUCACAGUAACCAGAUAAAAGGAUUAUCUUUCUCUGUCUUUAAAAGUUUUCCAAUCAGAGGAAAAUGUAUUCAGAGAAGAAUCAUCCAUGGAUGCUAAAGGCACUGCGUACAAGUUUGAUGUGUCCAAUGCAGCAUAUGGGACACGAUGAAAUAUUUAUUGAAUGGAUGCAGAAGAGAGUGAACACCAAAUCCAUCUCCCCCGACACUCAGCUUGGCAUACAGAGAACCCCAACCACACCUUACUGCCUACAUUACAGUGACUUUGUGGUCUGCUGUCUUCCCUGGCAUUUCUUUACUCUUCCUCAACCGCCCAGGCCAGGCAAAUGGUUUGAGUAUCAACAGCCAGUUUGCCCACCGAGAUUCUUUGAAUUCCCUCCCCUGUUUCCACCAAUUUUGGACUGUUGUGCAUUCUUACCCAGUCCUAAUCAAGACUCUGAACUGAAAAACUGGCCUUAAACCAAGCUUCCAAUUCUCAAAAAAUCCUGGUCUUACCUUCUCCUCUCUGAGACACUGCCCAAGUGUUGCCGAGUACUGUUCUCCUUGCCCGAGGAAGCAAGAAACUCGGCUUUGUUGUGUUGGUGAACUUCUGAGCCAGUUUUUGCAAGAGGAAUACAAUCUAAACACAGUAGCCAAAAUAAAUAUUUUAAUGCCUGGGAGCAUUAAAAACAGCUUCAGUAACAGUGCCUUCCCCAAGUAUAUCAGAGCUUGAGAUCAAAGGACCAAUCAGUAAUCAUGAACUUGUAUUUAUUUAGAAUUUUGAUGGUCUGUUCAUUGUACAUUUUCUUGCAUUAAUUUUGAUUUUUUAAAAUGUUCUACUAAAACAGUUAAUCUUAAUUUUUUGGUACUUCCUUACAUUUUGUGUUGGGGGUGAAUGAUUCACUCGUUGUACCCUAUUCCCAGGGCUGGAAGGAACAAAGCAUUAAAUUUAUAGUUUUGUGGACAGAAAAAAAAAGGUCCUAUGGAAAGUAAUUUCACAGGGUUCUGAUCAUAAAUUCCUAAAUGGGCAGGUCAUUGUCAGGUUGGAGGGAGCCCAGGAUCAGAUGCAUGCAGAUGGGUGACGAGAUAAGGGACCCUCCCUGAAUUUCUAACAGAUCAGCCUGCCAGACACAGAUACUGACUCCUUCCUGAAUACCCUGCCCACCCCUGCGGCGGGAGCUUCCUCUGCCGAAUACCGUGAUGACCCCCACAGGGGGAGCUUCCUCAGCUCAAGCCGCUGCCCUCAUUAAGCACCUGUAUAAAAAGAAGCCCCCCUUCCCUGUUGGCGUGAAUCCACUGGCCCUGUCUUUGGGGUUCGUGGGUCGCCCGGGGACGCAGAUUAAAACCUUUCCUUUUCUUUCUUU